rnacentral:rRNA from 1 species
GAUGAACGCUGGCGGCGUGCCUAAUACAUGCCAGUCGAGCGAACGGACGAGAAGCUUGCUUCUCUGAUGUUAGCGGCGGACGGGUGAGUAACACGUGGAUAACCUACCUAUAAGACUGGGAUAACUUCGGGAAACCGUAGCUAAUACCGGAUAAUAUUUUGAACCGCAUGGUUCAAAAGUGAAAGACGGUCUUGCUGUCACUUAUAGAUGGAUCCGCGCUGCAUUAGCUAGUUGGUAAGGUAACGGCUUACCAAGGCAACGAUGCAUAGCCGACCUGAGAGGGUGAUCGGCCACACUGGAACUGAGACACGGCCCAGACUCCUACGGGAGGCAGCAGUAGGGAAUCUUCCACAAUGGGCGCAAGCCUGACGGAGCAACGCCGCGUGAGUGAUGAAGGUCUUCGGGUCGUAAAACUCUGUUAUUAGGGAAGAACACAUGUGUAAGUAACUGUGCACAUCUUGACGGUACCUAAACAGAAAGCCACGGCUAACUACGUG